GAGAACAAAUGUACAAAAUGCUCAAAGAGCUUUAUUUAAACAGAAAUGGAGAUAGCUUAUUAAAGCUUUAUUGAACAAGAAAGUAAAGAGAAGAAGGAAGCUGAGAUUGUCUGCAAGAGUUAAAUGUUUAUAAAACUGAUAUUCAUAAAGAUGAGAGUUUGGCUGCUAGAAACGCAGCCUUGGUUACAUUGCAAAGUGACCUUACACAGAUAUUUAUAUCAACUCAAUAUGCUAGAAAACCUAGAUACAAUGAGCUUAGGUAAUGGGCUUCCGGUCUUUAUUUGGGCCUUGCUAAUACUCCCCCGCAAACUUAGCGUGGAUGGAGCAGCUACGCUGAGUUUGAAGGCACAGAUGGAGAUGGCUUUAGAUGAGCAUAAGUAGAUGAAGUAGGAUGCUUGAGAUGUUGGCAAAUGGUUCUACUCACCAUUGUAGACAAACAUUAGUGUGAGAUCUAUUCAGACCUAUACUUGGAGAGUAUCACAUGGCUUCACUCAGAGGUUUCUCUUGAACUUGGAGAGCUUAGUUGAUCUCACUCAGAGGUAUAAUUGUGGCCUAUUUGUCUCACUAUGAAUCUAGGUUUACUUAAACCAUUUCAUUCUUCUAAUCUGUCUCAUGAAGAACUCUCUUUCCACACCUACCAAAUACAACUAUACUCACUCUCUGCUUCAUUAUCACUAGUCACUAUCAUCUUUUAUCUCUCUGUGACAUUGUACCAAACACUUGGUGCGCAUCAAAAACAGAGACUUUCUUCCAUAAACCCUUUUUUUUUUUUUUUUUUUUUUUUUACAGAAAAUCAAACCUAGCGUAAGCAUUCUAUUCCAGAUUCCAAGCCUAUAAUCUAAACCAGCCAGCAUAAAUCACCAAACGACCACACAUGCAUCACUUCUCCUUAAUCUACCAAACGACCAUUCACUUGUUCUGUCUCAGGAAGAAGGACAGAUACAUAC
rnacentral:lncRNA from 1 species